UAAAAUAUAAAGAUUUACCUGAGUAGUAAUAGUUAUGUUCUUGAAACUUAAAAAAUUUGGCGGUAUUUUAGUCUAUUCAGAGGAACCUGUGACGUAAUUGAUAAUCCACGUUGUACCUAACUUAAUUUAGUUAAUUUCAGUUUGUAUACCGCCGUUAUUUGAAAAUUUUUAUAGAAUAAUAAUUUUCUAUUUUUUGUAUUAAAUUUAAAAUCAGGUCAAGGUGCAGCUUAUAAUUAAGUGUUUCAUGGGUUACAAUAAAAUUAUUUAUACAGUUUAAGUAAUGAAAUUUAUUUAUUAAGGUGGAUUUGAAAGUAAAUUUUUAAAGAUUAAAGAGUUGAUU
rnacentral:rRNA from 1 species